GUCAGGAUGGCCGAGUGGUGCAAGGCGCUGCGUUCAGGUCGCAGUCUACUCUUGUAGGCGUGGGUUCAAAUCCCACUUCUGACA
rfam:Biomphalaria glabrata isolate BB02 unplaced genomic scaffold LGTN_random_Scaffold4319, whole genome shotgun sequence.